rnacentral:rRNA from 1 species
AUUGAACGCUGGCGGCAGGCCUAACACAUGCAAGUCGAACGGUAACAGGAAGCAGCUUGCUGCUUCGCUGACGAGUGGCGGACGGGUGAGUAAUGUCUGGGAAACUGCCUGAUGGAGGGGGAUAACUACUGGAAACGGUAGCUAAUACCGCAUAACGUCGCAAGACCAAAGCGGGGGACCUUCGGGCCUCUUGCCAUCGGACGUGCCCAGAUGGGAUUAGCUAGUAGGUGGGGUAACGGCUCACCUAGGCCACGAUCCCUAGCUGGUCUGAGAGGAUGACCAGCCACACUGGAACUGAGACGCGGUCCAGACUCCUACGGGAGGCAGCAGUGGGGAAUAUUGCACAAUGGGCGCAAGCCUGAUGCAGCCAUGCCGCGUGUAUGAAGAAGGCCUUCGGGUUGUAAAGUACUUUCAGCGGGGAGGAAGGCGAUAAGGUUAAUAACCUUGUCGAUUGACGUUACCCGCAGAAGAAGCACCGGCUAACUCCGUGCCAGCCGCCGCCGUAA